rnacentral:lncRNA from 1 species
ACAAGGUACUUACAAUCUGAAUGAAGGCAUUCUGAGGACACAGUAGUUAAUGUGCUGAAAGUUAUAAGAAUUUUUACAGAGAAGUUAGGAUUUUAAUCUACUAGUUACAAGUUUGAAAAUGAAGCUAUAAUCUUAUCUCCCCGGCAGGCAGGUUUUGUUCUUUGUUUUGUGGAAGUUACAGCCCGUGUUUCCCUCUGGGCCUGGUGACGAGUUGGGCAGUGUUCAGCUCUGGGAGGGGCAGUGGACUGAUCUUGAACCGCAUGAACUUUUAUCCUUGUCAGCGGUUGGGGCGAGUAGCCUGUUGGGACGGUAGCUGCUACAUAUUGUCCAUUAUUUUAUCAGGGAGCUGGUUGGGACUCGAGAUGGCAUCAACAUUUGCAUGCCACCAGAGGUGGCCCAGCAUUCGUGGCCUUUCCACCCAGGUCGGUGGGCAGCCAUUAAAGCUGACAGGGAGUGCAGCCCUGGUUUCUAGAAGAGGAUUGUCAUUCUGUGCAACGCAGUGUGCCACUGGGAGUAUUUCAUUCCAGGUCUUUGGACUUCGUGACAUUGGAAUUGUAAAUAACUUUGUACGUGUGACUUCCUGCUUUCGUAUGAAGGGGAAGAAAUUAGCUCCUCCCUUGUAUGGUAACUCCAGAAUUAAAAAGAUUGUGCACGUAUAGGGGUUGAGUAUAUUUUGUAAAACUCUAAUGAUUUGUAUUUCUGUGCUGUUCUAAAGUUUACCUUUUUACUUCUAUUAAUUAAAGAUAUAGAAACUAUAUAUUUAAAUCAUGUAAAUGGGACACAAUUUAGGGUUUUUUCCCCAGUCUUCUUUUUCAUCAGCUUCUCACACACACACACAGUAUGCUGCUCAGAUUUUUUUGUGUGCAAUAUAAACAUUUGAACAUUUCAGUCAGGUACUGAGCCAGAAAUGGUAAUUGAAGUUUUUUAGAAAGCUUCUGUGCUUAGAAAAUACUUUGUUUUCUUGAAAUAUUAAUAAUUUAUAGCUGGAAAAAUAGGAUCAAGACUUAACGUGUUUCAGACCACUUGGUCAUUGCUUCCUAAAUGUAGGAAGCGUUUGAUUAACAAGUUGGUGAAGGCAUUUAGUGGUCACAAAAAUAGUUUAAAUAUUUGAGAUUAAAGGCUUCCCACAAACCCUCUGAGAAAGUUUAGCUAAGAAAUCUUAGAAAGUUUUCUGAGGAGGUUUGGCUGUGACACAUGUUUUGAUCAGAAAGAUAGUUUCUCUUUGCUCCAGUAGGUUUAUAAUUUGUACUAGUUCUUUCUUUCCGUUGUCAUUUGUUAAAAAAAAAAAAAUGUUAAAAUUAUAAAUCAUGUCUAAUCAUAGUGAAUUGUAAAAGUUCUGUAUUUUUAUUUUAAGGAAACAUAAGAAUAAAAUUAUCCUGUUUGUCCUGCA